rnacentral:rRNA from 1 species
AUUGAACGCUGGCGGCAGGCCUAACACAUGCAAGUCGAGCGGAUGAAGGGAGCUUGCUCCUGGAUUCAGCGGCGGACGGGUGAGUAAUGCCUAGGAAUCUGCCUGGUAGUGGGGGAUAACGUCCGGAAACGGGCGCUAAUACCGCAUACGUCCUGAGGGAGAAAGUGGGGGAUCUUGGGACCUAAGGCUAUCGGAGGGGCCUAGGUGGGUUUAGCUAGUUGGUGGGUUAAAGGCCUACCAAGGCGACAAUCCGUAACUGGUCUGAGAGGAUGAUCAGUCACACUGGAACUGAGACACGGUCCAGACUCCUACGGGAGGCAGCAGUGGGGAAUAUUGGACAAUGGGCGAAAGCCUGAUCCAGCCAUGCCGCGUGUGUGAAGAAGGUCUUCGGAUUGUAAAGCACUUUAAGUUGGGAGGAAGGGCAGUAAGUUAAUACCUUGCUGUUUUGACGUUACCAACAGAAUAAGCACCGGCUAACUUCGUG